UACCUUUUCCAUUUGGGGUAACCCUAUUAUGAGGUGUAUCAGUAGUAAUGCAGAUGUGCUAAGCUCGUAAGACAAUGUGGAGAUGCCUGAAAGUCUAAUUUGGGUCAUUUG
rfam:Methanosarcina acetivorans str. C2A, complete genome.